CCCUUAGACGUUCUGGGCCGCACGCGCGCUACACUGACGGAGCCAGCGAGUAUAAACCUUGGCCGAGAGGUCUGGGAAAUCUUGUGAAACCCCGUCGUGCUGGGGAUAGAGCAUUGUAAUUAUUGCUCUUCAACGAGGAAUUCCUAGUAAGCGCAAGUCAUCAGCUUGCGUUGAUUACGUCCCUGCCCUUUGUACACACCGCCCGUCGCUACUACCGAUUGAAUGGCUUAGUGAGGCUUCCGGAUUGGUUUAGAGAAGGGGGCAACUCCAUCUUGGAACCGAGAAGCUAGUCAAACUUGGUCAUUUAGAGGAAGUAAAAGUCGUAACA
rnacentral:rRNA from 1 species